UACAGAGGGUGGGAGCGUUAUUCGGAAUUACUGGGCGUAAAGCGCGCGUAGGCGGCUUUGUAAGUCGGGUGUGAAAUCCCCAGGCUUAACCUGGGAACUGCAUUCGAUACUGCCGUGCUUGAGGACUGGAGAGGAGACUGGAAUUUACGGUGUAGCGGUGAAAUGCGUAGAUAUCGUAAGGAAGACCAGUGGCGAAGGCGGGUCUCUGGACAGUUCCUGACGCUGAGGCACGAAGGUCAGGGGAGCAAACGGG
rnacentral:rRNA from 1 species